rnacentral:rRNA from 1 species
AACGAACGCUGGCGGCGUGGAUAAGACAUGCAAGUCGAACGGGAUUUUUUCCUGUAGCAAUACAGGAAAAAGUCUAGUGGCGAACGGGUGCGUAACACGUGAGCAACCUGCCGUGAAGUGGGGGAUAGCUCGCCGAAAGGCGAAUUAAUACCGCAUGUGGCCAAGGAAGACAUCUUCCUGACGCCAAAGCCGGGGCAACCUGGCGCUUCUCGAGGGGCUCGCGGCCUAUCAGCUUGUUGGUGAGGUAACGGCUCACCAAGGCUAUGACGGGUAGCUGGUCUGAGAGGACGACCAGCCACACUGGAACUGAGACACGGUCCAGACACCUACGGGUGGCAGCAGUCGAGAAUUUUUCACAAUGGGGGAGACCCUGAUGGAGCGACGCCGCGUGGAGGGUGAAGGUUUUCGGAUUGUAAACUCCUGUCAUUAGAGAACAAGGCACACGGUUUAACUGGCCGUGUGUUGAUAGUAUCUGAAGAGGAAGAGACGGCUAACUCUGUGCCAGCAGCCGCGGUAA